GAAAAUUAAAUAAAGUCCAAACCAUGACUUUCUGCUGUGUUUAAAUGUAUACAGUGGUAACUGCUUAUAGUGAUCAGUUAUCCCAGAUAGCAACUGACUCUGGACCGGAUCCGCCUCCAAAGACUGAUCCGUGUUACAGUCUCACCGGUUUUACAUCCCCGUGCCAGAUACGGACCGCAUACAGGCUGACGAGUGGGUGUGUCAGUUAGACUCGCAAUCAGUCAGCAGAGUCAAAGUAGUUACGGGCCAGAUCCAUGGAAACAAGCGCGCGAUUUUUUUUCUUUUUCCUUUUGUUCAGUUGUAUCAGAACAGACCAAGGAAAAGCAGGAGACCGUUGGCGGCUUUUCUUCCAGCGUUGGAAAAUUUUUUAUUACGGUUCAGGUUCCCCCAGAGUGCCGCGGAUCAGUAGGGGGCUGUAAGGAAGAACCAAUCUGCGAGCAGCGCUCCAGAUAGUGAGAUAGACUCACAUAUCAUCAGAUGGUUUAACUUGGCAUCUGACCGGGGAGGUGGCCGCAAAGACCGUGCCAAGACUAAAGAAGCAUUAACCACGGCAUCACAACAUUCCACUGAGCAGCAGUGGCUGACUUCAUAAAGGUACUGUAUAUUUUACAUAUAUUUUGUAUUCUUGAUUACUGUGGCAGCCGCACUAAACACCGAUGCUGAGUGUCAGUGGUUUUCUUUUUAGCACCGUUAACAUACAAACAUUUUAAGUAGUGACAGUACACAUAGCCUUUUGUUUUUCCUACAGCACACACUUUAUUUUUUGACAGUUUGCUAAUUUGUAUGCACUCAUUUUAGUUAACAUUCUGUCAUUUCUUGCUUGCUUUAAAUUAUGUUCUAACUUUUUGUUUUUCAUGGAUCCAACAAAGAAAGUGGCACGAGGAAGUGGAAGGGACAGCAGGCAGUGGGAGAGGGACAAGUGCUGCUCUUCACUUCCACCAUGAAGACUGAAGCCGGAUGCAGGGAUUGAACCGUCAACCUUCUAGUAAUAAAUUUGCUCCUAUAACCUUUAGGAUAUCACUACCCGCCUACAGGUAGGCCUAUACGUUUAAUCUGUCAUCAAUUUUGUGCCAAGUUAUCUCCUUCACCUUGUUAAUUGUACCAGUAUUGGCCUUUUUGGUGAAAACUCCUUUAUAUUUUUCAUAUAGUUUCAUCAGCAGGUUUGUUCUGCUGCUGAGAAGAACAAAGCCCUAGUUUUCUUUUCUUUUUGCAACAUAAUAUUGUCUUUUCAACAAUCGACUGUUCUGGACUGCUUAUUCUAGUUUGGCUAGAGUUAGCUGGCUAGAGUUAGCGUUGACUAGACAUGGCUAAGCUGCGUUAGUGACUUCAUUAACUUUUAAAAUGUAUGAAUAUGGCAAUGCCGUUUGAAGUUCAGGGUUGUUCUUUAAGGUAAGAGUUAAAGCUUUUAACAAUUGUAUGAAUGAAUGAAUAAAUGUUUUACAAUUGCAAUGUUGAGUUGGCACUUGAAUGAAUAUCUGAAAUGUGA